AUUCUGCUGGAGAUCCCUGUGUAUCUGAGGCCUUCCAAAGUUCAAGUCUUCCCAUUCCUCCUCCAUCCACAAUGGCAGUUGUGUAUUCUCACCACUCAAAAGGGGAACAAUGUCCUUGUCCUCAGGAAAACAGUAGGUGACACUCAACUGUGGCACACAGAAGUAUGGGAUACGUUUCCUCAGAUCCUGGUGACCCAUCCAAGGGAAGCACAAGAGAGAACAUGCUGUUUUGGGAGCCCCUCACCCCGUGUCUGUGUUCACCUUGGGUUCUGAUAACCCACAGCCACUCUGCAUCACAGACUUACCUACCUGACCAAGGUGCUGAAGUGCCAAAGGCAUUUUUAAAUUUUUAUUUUAAUGGGCCCGGGAGUUUAAAUCUCAUUGACUUUCAAAUCGACUGUGCAGAUCAAUGCACAAUGCCCUGACAAGGCAAGAUGGUUUCCAACGGGACGUCCUCCUGCACAUCAGCCAGCCCUCUUCAAUGCUGCUCCAGCAUUGUGGGAUUCAGCUGCAAUCUCCUCCAACCCUGGAAUUUCUAAUGAGUCCUCAAGCCAGACCUUCAACUUACUUUGUGCAGAGAUAUAAGUAAGCAUCUGAUGGAACUGAAGCCUGACUCCCAUUGAAAUCUGGUGCCUAACCUGCUUAGAUGCAUCUGGAAAUCCUAUUAAAGAACUACCUUGCACCUUUAAGCACCUAAAUGCAUUUGAAAAUGCUUUCUUAGGUGACUCAGGGAUGGAAGGCCAAAACAUUUUGAGAGGAUUUGUGCUCCUGACUCACCCGUAGCUCCCUCAAGAAAUCUCUCUCUCUCUCUGCGUUGUGCUGAUGUCCCAUGUAACCUUCCUCUUUCAUUCCAUCUUGUGUUGUUCAUCGGUGAAGGACUCUAAAUAAUUCCUCCCCCUUCCUUACUGUUGACACUUCUCUGAGUAUUUGCAGGCCAUUAUUAAAUCACCUCUUUACUCAUCCUUUAUCUGAGCUGUACAUAAUUAGUUCCUUUAAUCUUUCCUCAUAGGUCAAUCCUUCUAAACCCUUGAUCAUCUUUAUCUCCUUUUCCUGGAGACCCUCCAAUUUGCUGACACUUUUUUUUUCUUUGCUUUCAUUUUAUUUUGCAUGGAGCAGCACAGCACAUGCCAUGAGCCCUGGGUGCUUUCUGUAGACUGCUCCCUGGGGCAUCGCCCCUACUUGGUGUCAGCAGUGUUGGCACUGGAUGGGGAAGGCGAGAAGAAGCACUUCAACCCAUGCAGGCCACAGCACCAGGCUGUUCCCCAGCUCUGGGUCCCAUAUACCUGUGCCUUCCCACCUGGGGAGCUCCAUCCUUCUUGCCAUGAAGGAUACUGCUGGCUCCCUUCCCAAGCAUGGAUGCACAGUGCUAGCACCUGUCCAGCUCAGCAAUGCAGGACUUUGGCAUGUGCAGCCCAGAAUAGCACGGCCUGCUUUGCUUUCCUCAUAAUAAUGCUAUUUCUGCUUUAUUUAUUUAUUUAUUGUAUUAUAUUUGUCCUUAGUCCUUCCCUCUAAGAAACCUUUCUCAGCUGCUAUUGCGCUCCCCUUCACAG
rnacentral:lncRNA from 1 species